UACGGAGGGUGCAAGCGUUAUCCGGAUUUACUGGGUUUAAAGGGUGUGUAGGCGGACUUUUAAGUCAGGGGUGAAAUCCCGAGGCUCAACCUCGGAACUGCCUUUGAUACUAUUGGUCUUGAAUGUUGUUGAGGUGGGCGGAACGGGUCAUGUAGCGGUGAAAUGCAUAGAUAUGGCCCGGAACACCGAUUGCGAAGGCAGCCCGCUAAGCAACUAUUGACGCUGAGGCACGAAAGCGUGGGGAUCAAACAGG
rnacentral:rRNA from 1 species